rnacentral:rRNA from 1 species
CAGCAGCCGCGGGAAUACAGAGGGUGCGAGCGUUAAUCGGAUUUACUGGGCGUAAAGCGUGCGUAGGCGGUUUGUUAAGACAGAUGUGAAAUCCCCGGGCUCAACCUGGGAACUGCAUUUGUGACUGGCAAGCUAGAGUCUGGCAGAGGGGGGUGGAAUUCCGCGUGUAGCAGUGAAAUGCGUAGAUAUGCGGAGGAACACCGAUGGCGAAGGCAGCCCCCUGGGCCAACACUGACGCUCAUGCACGAAAGCGUGGGGAGCAAACAGGAUUAGAUACCCCGGUAGUCCCUGUCUCUUAUAC